GACGAACGCUGGCGGCGUGCCUAAUACAUGCAAGUCGAGCGGACCGAACAGGAGCUUGCUCUUGUUCGGUUAGCGGCGGACGGGUGAGUAACACGUGGGUAACCUGCCCGUAAGACCGGGAUAACUCCGGGAAACCGGAGCUAAUACCGGAUAACACCGAAGACCGCAUGGUCUUUGGUUGAAAGGCGGCUUCGGCUGCCACUUACGGAUGGGCCCGCGGCGCAUUAGCUAGUUGGUGAGGAAACGGCUCACCAAGGCGACGAUGCGUAGCCGGCCUGAGAGGGUGACCGGCCACACUGGGACUGAGACACGGCCCAGACUCCUACGGGAGGCAGCAGUAGGGAAUCUUCCGCAAUGGACGAAAGUCUGACGGAGCGACGCCGCGUGAGCGAAGAAGGUCUUCGGAUCGUAAAGCUCUGUUGUUAGGGAAGAAGAAGCGUCGUUCGAACAGGGCGGCGCGGUGACGGUACCUAACGAGAAAGCCCCGGCUAACUACGUG
rnacentral:rRNA from 1 species